AAAUUGAAGAGUUUGAUCAUGGCUCAGAUUGAACGCUGGCGGCAGGCCUAACACAUGCAAGUCGAACGGUAACAGGAAGCAGCUUGCUGCUUUGCUGACGAGUGGCGGACGGGUGAGUAAUGUCUGGGAAACUGCCUGAUGGAGGGGGAUAACUACUGGAAACGGUGGCUAAUACCGCAUAACGUCGCAAGACCAAAGAGGGGGACCUUCGGGCCUCUUGCCAUCAGAUGUGCCCAGAUGGGAUUAGCUAGUUGGUGAGGUAACGGCUCACCAAGGCGACGAUCCCUAGCUGGUCUGAGAGGAUGACCAGCCACACUGGAACUGAGACACGGUCCAGACUCCUACGGGAGGCAGCAGUGGGGAAUAUUGCACAAUGGGCGCAAGCCUGAUGCAGCCAUGCCGCGUGUAUGAAGAAGGCCUUCGGGUUGUAAAGUACUUUCAGCGGGGAGGAAGGUGUUGUGGUUAAUAACCUCAGCAAUUGACGUUACCCGCAGAAGAAGCACCGGCUAACUCCGUGCCAGCAGCCGCGGUAAUACGGAGGGUGCAAGCGUUAAUCGGAAUUACUGGGCGUAAAGCGCACGCAGGCGGUCUGUCAAGUCGGAUGUGAAAUCCCCGGGCUCAACCUGGGAACUGCAUUCGAAACUGGCAGGCUUGAGUCUUGUAGAGGGGGGUAGAAUUCCAGGUGUAGCGGUGAAAUGCGUAGAGAUCUGGAGGAAUACCGGUGGCGAAGGCGGCCCCCUGGACAAAGACUGACGCUCAGGUGCGAAAGCGUGGGGAGCAAACAGGAUUAGAUACCCUGGUAGUCCACGCCGUAAACGAUGUCUACUUGGAGGUUGUGCCCUUGAGGCGUGGCUUCCGGAGCUAACGCGUUAAGUAGACCGCCUGGGGAGUACGGCCGCAAGGUUAAAACUCAAAUGAAUUGACGGGGGCCCGCACAAGCGGUGGAGCAUGUGGUUUAAUUCGAUGCAACGCGAAGAACCUUACCUGGUCUUGACAUCCACGGAAGUUUUCAGAGAUGAGAAUGUGCCUUCGGGAACCGUGAGACAGGUGCUGCAUGGCUGUCGUCAGCUCGUGUUGUGAAAUGUUGGGUUAAGUCCCGCAACGAGCGCAACCCUUAUCCUUUGUUGCCAGCGGUCCGGCCGGGAACUCAAAGGAGACUGCCAGUGAUAAACUGGAGGAAGGUGGGGAUGACGUCAAGUCAUCAUGGCCCUUACGACCAGGGCUACACACGUGCUACAAUGGCGCAUACAAAGAGAAGCGACCUCGCGAGAGCAAGCGGACCUCAUAAAGUGCGUCGUAGUCCGGAUUGGAGUCUGCAACUCGACUCCAUGAAGUCGGAAUCGCUAGUAAUCGUGGAUCAGAAUGCCACGGUGAAUACGUUCCCGGGCCUUGUACACACCGCCCGUCACACCAUGGGAGUGGGUUGCAAAAGAAGUAGGUAGCUUAACCUUCGGGAGGGCGCUUACCACUUUGUGAUUCAUGACUGGGGUGAAGUCGUAACAAGGUAACCGUAGGGGAACCUGCGGUUGGAUCACCUCCUUACCUUAAAGAAGC
rnacentral:rRNA from 1 species